UGUGUAAUUUUACCCAAUUUCUUUUGUUUCUGUGCGAAAGAAGCCCUACUAGCCAGUUGGAGACAGAAAGAGAGAAAGGGUGAAGACGAAGAUGUUCAAGACCUUUCGGAGGUAGAUUUCUCACUCGCAGGUGGAUCCAAGGCCCUUUCAGAGGUUCAGUUCAUUGACUGAAGUAGAAGAAUAUUUAUUGAUUUUAGACUUGAGGUGAGUUUUAUCUGUCUAGUGAAAAGAAGGCCUCACAAUGGAUGCUCAAGCGAGAAAGAAGGCCUUGUAUCGUGCUAAACUGAAUGCAAAUAAGCUGGAGAAGCGCAUAGAAUCUCCUCUUGUGAGGUACAAUGAAUUUGAUCAACCUGUCUGUAGGGUUUGUGAUGUUGUUUUGAAAUCCGAGUCACUUUGGCCCGCACAUCAAGCUUCUCGUAAACAUCACGAGGCGAUUAAUAAUGUCAAAGCCAAUGCUGCUGGACUAACACGGGUUAAUAAUGCAAAGGUUGAGUCCCCUAUAGAGUUGCCCAAACAAAAAAAUGAACAUUCUACAGAGUUGCGUGAUUCUAAACCUGAAGCCUCGAUGGAAUUGCUGAAACGGCCAUCUUCUGUUCUUCCACCAGAUUUUUUUGACAAUAACAAGACAAAGAUGCAAAAAACUGGAAUGGAUGCAACCAAAUUGGGGAAUCCUAAUUCAUACAAAAAGGCAGGAGGUUCUGCUCAAACUCGAUUGACUGAACCAUUCAACUCAGAGAGUAAGAUAGAUGAAUUUUCCAGUGCCAAAGUUGUAGAGAGCAAAAUGGAUGAAAUUCAGCCUGACAAGGAGCAGAUGCAGACAUCAAAACUGAUUGCUGGUUCAGAAACCAAGCAAGCAAAGGGAGCGCUACCAGAAGGCUUUUUUGAUGACAAAGAUGCUGAUCUACGUGCACGCGGCAUUACGCCUGUUAAGCUAGAUGUCAAUACAGCACACUCGCAGAAUGAGAUGCAGAGACUGGAGAUGGAGAAUAGAUCAAGUGGAGUGUUCAACACUCUCUUCUUAAGACAGAUUUGUCCUUCCCAUGGUGCUUCGGAGCAUUGGACGUCUAUCUCCUAGGAUGAAAUGGUCUUUGUGGUCUAGUUGCAGCACUAUAAGAAGACUGUUGGUGAACCAAUUUAUGUAUGUACUCUCUUGCUGGUAACUGGACUCUCAAAUAUGCAAGGUAUGAAGCAGGGAAGAAAGGAGGAAAGAAACGAAUGAAUUCAAUGCUGGAAUGGCUGGAGGGACUGUAUUUAUAGGCAGUGAAGUACCUGUUUGGACUGACCAAAAAGUGGUGACUGGAAAGGAUGCAACUUUCCUAACGCAUGUGGCCAAAAAUUGCAGAGAGAAACGGAAAGUCGCAGUCAGUCGGACGGGGACAUUACUGUUUGCAGAAAAUUUGUAUUUGAAUUUCAAAAUUUCUGGCAAAAAUAUUGAAUUGAAAAUUCAAAUAAAUUUGGCUCAAAAAGACAUAUAUACGGGUUGAUCAAACCCACAACCCGAGCUCGGAUUGGGGGGCGGCGGCGGCGGCCUGUGAAUUUUUGGAUCCAACCCACUUUGGUCCAUAACUCCAAUCUAUGAAGCACGGACACCUCUCCGAGGGCUCCGUACCAGUGUCAGACACGUGUCGGACACGGACACGCGUCGGACACGCAGUGGACACGUGUCCGACACCGCACUAGAGAGUGUCCAAUUUUUUUUUAUUUUUUUUGAAGCCGGACACGUCCAGGACACGUUGUGGACAUUUUCGGGACACGCACGGGGUCAAGUUCAGAAUUUACAUAACAUUUUUAGGGUCAAUCUGUAAAAAAAACAAAAAUAACUUAUAUUUGCCCUAAAUCGAUCAAAGAUAGCAGAGAACAAAAAGAGAAAGAGAGAAGGCAAAGAUAACAGAGGAGAAAGAGAACUUGGUCGCUCGUCCGUCGCUCGUCAUCGCUUGUCGCUGCUUGUAGCUCGUCGCUCAUCGUUCGUCGUCGCUCCUCGGCCGUCGCUCGUAAGGGAUGAGUACAAGGAAUUUGAAAAGUUGAUCCAACAGGACUUGCAGAAGGUGGACAACCGUUUGGAGGAAGAGGAGAUUGAUGCAGCUGAGACGAUAGAAGAGGCAGAGUCUGUGGAGCAAAA